rnacentral:rRNA from 1 species
UGAGAAUCUGCCUUGGGGUCGGGGACAACCACUGGAAACGGUGGCUAAUACCGGAUAAGCCUUUGGGUAAAAGAUUUAUUGCCCCAAGAGGAGCUCGCGUCUGAUUAGCUAGUUGGUGAGGUAAAAGCUCACCAAGGCAGCGAUCAGUAGCUGGUCUGAGAGGACGAUCAGCCACACUGGGACUGAGACACGGCCCAGACUCCUACGGGAGGCAGCAGUGGGGAAUUUUCCGCAAUGGGCGAAAGCCUGACGGAGCAAGACCGCGUGAGGGAGGAAGGCUCUUGGGUUGUAAACCUCUUUUCUCAGGGAAGAAGCUCUGACGGUACCUGAGGAAUCAGCCUCGGCUAACUCCGUGCCAGCAGCCGCGGUAAUACGGAGGAGGCAAGCGUUAUCCGGAAUUAUUGGGCGUAAAGCGUCCGCAGGUGGCGAUUCAAGUCUGCUGUCAAAGCACGGGGCUUAACUCCGUUAAGGCAGUGGAAACUGAAUAGCUAGAGUGCCGUAGGGGUAGAGGGAAUUCCCGGUGUAGCGGUGAAAUGCGUAGAGAUCGGGAAGAACAUCGGUGGCGAAAGCGCUCUACUGGACGGCAACUGACACUCAGGGACGAAAGCUAGGGGAGCGAAUGGGAUUAGAUACCCCAGUAGUCCUAGCUGUAAACGAUGGAUACUAGGUGUAGCUUGUAUCGACCCGAGCUGUGCCGAAGCUAACGCGUUAAGUAUCCCGCCUGGGGAGUACGCACGCAAGUGUGAAACUCAAAGGAAUUGACGGGGGCCCGCACAAGCGGUGGAGUAUGUGGUUUAAUUCGAUGCAACGCGAAGAUCCUUACCAGGGUUUGACAUGUCCGGAAUCCCGGUGAAAGCUGGGAGUGCCUUCGGGAGCCGGAACACAGGUGGUGCAUGGCUGUCGUCAGCUCUUGUCGUGAGAUGUUGGGUUAAGUCCCGCAACGAGCGCAACCCUCGUCUUUAGUUGCCAGCAUUAAGUUGGGCACUCUAGAGAGACCGCCGGUGACAAACCGGAGGAAGGUGGGGAUGACGUCAAGUCAGCAUGCCCCUUACGCUCUGGGCGACACACGUACUACAAUGGUCGGGACAGAGGGCAGCGAACCUGCGAAGGCAAGCUAAUCCCAGCAAACUCGGCCUCAGUUCA